UAUUAAAGGCAACGCCUGCCCAGUGAAUAAUUAAACGGCCGCGGUAUCCUAACCGUGCAAAGGUAGCGUAAUCACUUGUCUAUUAAUUGUAGACCUGUAUGAAAGGCAUAAUGAGGGUCUAACUGUCUCUUCUAGUAAAUCAAUUAAACUGAUCUCCUAGUCCAAAAGCUAAGAUAUCAACAUAAGACCAGAAGACCCUGUGAAGCUUUAACUAAACUAUUAAAUCUCCUAAUACCUCCUUUCGGUUGGGGCGACCUUGGAAAAAAAAAGAACUUCCAAAUAUACAAUAUAUAAUAUUCUUCAACUUAGGCCGACAGGCCUACAAAGACCCAGCACAGCUGACAAUUGAACCAAGUUACUCCAGGGAUAACAGCGCUAUCUUCUUCAAGAGCCCAUAUCAAAAAGAAGGUUUACGACCUCGAUGUUGGAUCAGGACAUCCUAAUGGUGCAACCGCUAUUAAGGGUUCGUUUGUUCAACGAUUAACA
rnacentral:rRNA from 1 species